GAGCGUUUGAAACAACGACCUUUGCGGGAGUCGUUUAGAAUAGGAAAGGGCGUCCCUUAAGCCACGUGUCCGUUUUGUCUCUAUAGCGUCAGGGUUCUCUACAAAGCUGUGCCCCACAAGGGGGGGGGCGCGCGGGCCCUUCCUUCCAGGCCGUGCGCCCCCCCACCCGCCCCCACCCCGCUCCCUCACUUCUCAGGUCAGCCCAUCCCAGGAAUGCAAAUUGAGGGGGAGGGUCCCCAGUGUUCCAGGGUUUUUUUGGGGGGGACGCCACGGCUGCUUUCUUUUUUCCGGGGGGGGGGUGUGGGAGGGGGAGGAAAUGAAGUCACGCAUAGGAAUUUUUUCUCGUUCUCGGAAGCCCCCCAUCUUAUUUCCCAGUGCAAUUUCCCAGUCAUAGGAAUAUGUGUGUGUGUGUGUCUUGUGUGUCUGUGCUCGCUAAUUAAUAAAAUGAAAGUCGGGGUGAGGAGAAUAAGCGUCUUCUUGUUUCUUCUGUCUCGGAAUAA